ensembl:misc_RNA 7SK 7SK RNA
GGAUGUGAGGGCGACCUGGCUGCAAAAUCUGCUGCCAGCGUUGAUUGGGCUGAUCUGGCUGGCUGCACAGUGUCCCCUCCCUCCUUCCCACUGCAUGUGUCCUCCCAAAGCUGUGCCCUGGUCUAACAGGACAACCUCCCACACACAGGGGGACCGCUUUCCCGGCCAAGGAUAUACAGGCAGCUGUGCUCCCCUGCUAAAACCUCCACACAAGCUCUCAGGAAACUGCCUGUGAGCCUCCUGUGGCAGUGUACGCCUGUAAUCCCAGCACUCAGGAAGCUGAGGCAGGUGGAUCGUCACAAGUU